ensembl:lncRNA
AUGAUGUCUUAUUUGUCAGGUGUCAUGGGGUCAUGGAUGCUGGUUUGGAUUCUGUGUGCCACAGUCACUCUGAUGCCUGUGUGUCUUCACGGAGCAAUAUCAGUCCGUUUUAAAACCGGACGGCCUCUGUAUGUUGCGCUCGGACAAACUCUUGUUCUGGAAGCCGUGUUUGAGAAGGAUCCAGACGACAAGAUAGACAUAGUGACGUGGGACCGCGAGAGAGGAAGAGAGCAUGUCAGGCUGUCACACGGAAACAGAAUAUCUUUGGAGAACGGAGAUGCACUUCUGCGGGUCACUGAUGUUGCAGAAGGGGACUUUGCGAUCUACAAGGUCACUCUUACAGACAGGAACGGAUACCAGCAGCACGACUCAAUAGAAGUGCGAAAGACAGUGGAAUCUCCAAAGGCGUCAAUAACACGUGUGCUGGAGUGCGUUGUGGAUAAUCACGGCAUGACACAGUGGGACAGCCCUCAGUUUUCUUGGCUGGUUGAUGGUGUUACAGUAACCAAUCAAAGCGCUCUGUUAGCAGAUGGCAGUAGACUAGACAUCUCUGAGAUUAAGGGCGUUAACUACACCUGCAUCAUCAAGAGCAGCCUGGGGACGGUGACUACACAUCAUCAAAUACCAGAAGGUAUUGUUUAAUUCCAAGAACUCAUGGCAUUUUUUAACUUUGAGAGGUAAUUGUCCCAUGUAAAUGUUUUUUUUUUUCACCCUAAAAUGUUCAUCACACCAUGCCAAAAACACCAAGAGAAACAAGGAAACACUUUACAAAAAUGUUCCAUUAGGUAACAACAUUAACCAAAAUUAACUAACCAUGAGCAGUUCAUUUGUUACGGCGUUUAUUAAUGUUUGUUGGGGAAAUUUACUUUUAAAAGUCAUGCGUUACAAUAUUGCGUUACACUCUGAAAAACUAAUUAUGUUACAUUUGUGGAAAUUAAAUACUUUUGUGGAACUAUAAUGCAUUAUUGUAUGUUACAUUUUUGUUACUUUGUCUCAUUUGUGCUGGACUUGCUUGUUUGUUUUUAAUUAAUUGUAUCAUUUUUGGGGGCAAAUGUAAAACCACUUUCAUACCAAGAGAGAAAUGCAUGAGCCUCAUGCUGAAGGAAAUAUAAAUUCACAUCUGUAGAGGGCACAGAUCAAACAAACCUCCGAUAUUUUCAGAGUAAUGCAUUAAAAAGUAAUGCAUUACUUUACUAGUUACUUGAAAAAGUAAUCUGAUUACGUACUUGUAAUGCAUUACUAAUAAUACAACUGUUCAUUUUUUUAGUAUAUUUUUUCUUUCGGGCCAUUACUGUAAAUAAUCGUUUUAACGCUCACGUUGUGUUCUGGUCAUUUUGACCUGGAGAGGACCGUGUGAUGUUAUUGAUCAGGACUAUAAUCUAUAUAUAUAUAUAAAAUCUAUAGUCUACUAUACUACUAUAAUCUAAUCUAUAAUCUACUAUAAUAAAAACUAUUCACACAUGGUAUAAUAACUUUCU